AUUGAACGCUGGCGGCAGGCUUAACACAUGCAAGUCGAACGAGUGGCGGACGGGUGAGUAAUGCUUGGGAAUCUAGCUUAUGGAGGGGGAUAACUACGGGAAACUGUAGCUAAUACCGCGUACCAUAGGAUGAGCCCAAGUGGGAUUAGGUAGUUUGUGCGGUAAAGGCUCACAAAGCCGAAGAUCUCUAGCGGGUCUGAGAGGAUGAACAGCCACACGGGGACUGGGAAACGGCCCAGACUCCUACGGGAGGCAGAAGUGGGGAAUAUUGCGCAAUGGGGGAAACCUGACGCAGCCAUGCGGCGUGAAUGAAGAAGGCCUUCGGGUUGUAAAGUUCUGUCAGCGGGGAGGCGUUACCCGCAGAAGAAGCACCGGCUAACUCCGUGCCAGCAGCCGCGGUAAUAC
rnacentral:rRNA from 1 species